rnacentral:rRNA from 1 species
CCUACGGGUGGCAGCAGUGGGGAAUAUUGCGCAAUGGGCGAAAGCCUGACGCAGCGACGCCGCGUGAGGGAUGAAGGUCUUCGGAUCGUAAACCUCUGUCAGCAGGGAAGAACGGUCACUGUGCUAAUCAGCAGUGAAUUGACGGUACCUGCAAAGGAAGCACCGGCUAACUCCGUCCCAGCAGCCGCGGUAAUAUGGAGGGUGCGAGCGUUAAUCGGAAUUACUGGGCGUAAAGCGGUCGUAGGCGGUAUGUCAAGUCACGGGUGAAAUCCCCGCGCUCAACGUGGGAACUGCCGUUGAAACUGGGAGACUGGAGUGUGUGAGAGGGUAGUGGAAUUCCAGGUGUAGGAGUGAAAUCCGUAGAUAUCGGGAGGAACAUCAGUGGCGAAGGCGACUAUCUGGCACAUAACUGACGCUGAGGAGCGAAAGCGUGGGUAGCAAACAGGAUUAGAUACCCCAGUAGUC